CGUAAGAAGCUCACCUCUGUAUUCUGUUUCUUACAGGGAGAAGCCAUGGAAAGAAGUAGAGAGAACAUAAUUGUUUCCCUUCUCGUACCAGUCUUGCUUGAAAAAUUAUCCUCACAGGCAUUAAUGGAUUUUGGAUCGGUUUGGUGUGUUCAGAGUGAGCUACUUGCACUCUCAGAUGUUCUUGGGAAAAUUCAAGAACUGCUCAAAUUUGCAGAGUACUCUCAAUCAAAGAAUAUCUUGGUUAAACGCUGUCUUAGAAAUCUCAGAGAUGUUGCUUACAGAGCUGAGGAUAUAUUGGAUGAGUUCAUGUAUGAAGCUCGUAAGGGAAAAGAUGAAAGAUAUCAAGGUGGAAACAAGGUACAUUUCUUUCCCUUUAACCUAAAUGCAAAUGGGCUUUUAAGGAAAGCUGAAAUUGUGCCUCUUGUAAAUGAUGAACUCAUAAAUAAACUAGUGGAGAUUGAGAAGAAACUUGAAGAUCAUUAUCUUAGAGAGUCAGGAAAUUGGAAAUCACAUGGGGUGAAUGAUGAAUUAAUAGAUACUAGACCAAAGAGUAGUUCUCUAGUUGAUGAAUCUUUUACUUUGGGGAGGAAGGGAGAUGAAGAUCAAAUUAAAGCUAAGUUGUUUUCAUAUCCAGAUGAAAAUCAAAAUCAGGUUUCUGUUAUUGCCAUUGUUGGAUUGGGAGGUGUAGGGAAGACAACUCUAGCCCAGAUUCUCUAUAAUGAUCCUGUUGUAGAGAAACAUUUUGAAAUUAGGGCUUGGGUUUGUGUGUCUACUGGUUUUAAUGCUGUGAGAUUGACUUCUGAAAUUUUAGAGUCAUUGACAGGGGAAAAUCCUAACUUGAGCAGCCUGGAACCACUUCAACGUAAGUUGAGAGAGAAAUUAAGGGGGAAGCGAAUUUUAAUCGUGUUAGAUGAUGUUUGGACUGAAGAGCACAAUGAUUGGAAAGCAAUUAGAGUUGUAUUCAUGGUGGCAAGGGAAGGAAGCAGAAUAAUUGUAACAACUCGAAGUAGAAGAGUUUCCUCAAUGAUGAACCCCAUGUAUACCCAUGAUCUACAAAUUUUAUCUGAUGAAGAGUGUUGGUCAAUAAUGGAAAGGCGCAUAUCUAUAGAUUAUGGCUCUAUUGCUCCCAGCUUGGAAGCAGUGGGUAGAAACAUUGCGAGGAAGUGCAAAGGAUUGCCCUUGGCAGCAAGUACACUUGUAGGCCUUUUAUGCUCUAGUUUAGAUUUAAACCAUUGGGAAUUAGUCUUGAAUAGUUGCAUGUGGAAUUUAGAAGAAAGCAAUUUGCCAGCUGCUCUAAGCCUAAGCUAUUAUUUUCUUCCCACAUCUUUGAAGCAGUGUUUUGUUUAUUGUUCUGUAUUUCCCAAAGAUUAUAAAUUCGAUAAGCAACAUCUCAUCGAACUAUGGAUGGCAGAAGGAUUUAUUAGAUCAAACACAAGAAUGGAAAACAUAGGUGGCCAAUAUUUUGAUGAUUUGCUACAUCGAUCUUUCUUUCAGCACUACAAUGAAGACGGAGGUGGCCUCUAUUCUGAUAGAUUUGUGAUGCAUGACCUUAUACAUGAUUUAGCAGAAGCACUGUCAGGAGAGAUGUAUGGUAGAUUUGAUUGUAGGGAAUCGUAUCGUAGCUCCAAAGAGGCCCAUUGUUUGUCCAUGUGUUGUGCGAAAUAUAUGUCUAAGGAUGAAAAUCAUGAUCACAACAGGUUAUCCACAUUGAUACAACUAAAUUAUUGUGUAAGUUACACCAGGGAUGACUCUAUUAAUUCUCUUGUAGGACUGAGAUACUUGCGUGUCUUAGAUUUGUAUGGUUCUGGUAUUUGGAUGCUUCCGGAUGAUAUUGGUGAUUUGAAGUACCUACAAUAUAUUAACCUCUCUUAUGCUCGUAACAUUCAACGGUUACCUGAGACAUUGUGCAAUCUUCACAAUCUACAGUCAUUGAUACUCCGUUAUUCUGGAAUAUCUGACUUACCUAGAGGUAUGAAGUAUCUACAAAAUCUCCAGCAUCUAGACCUUCAUGAGUGCAGUAACUUGUGGUCCAUGCCAAAAGGAAUUGGGAGAUUAACUAGUCUCAAGAAAUUGUCUUUGUUUCCUGUCUCGAAAGAUGAUGAUGGUUGUGGGAUAAGAGAGCUGAAGGAAUUGUGUCAGCUUGAAGGUUCGCUUUUGAUAUGCUUACUACAGAAUGUGAUUGAUCCUGUGGAUGCUAGGAAAGCUGAUUUGAUGAAUAAAGCAAAAAUUGAUGAGUUGGUGUUGGCAUGGAGAGGCAGUAAUGAUAGAGAUGUUGAGGUUUUUGAAGGUUUGCAACCCCAUACUGAGCUGAAGAGUUUACAUAUCCACUAUUACUAUGGUUUGGCAUUUCCAAAAUGGUUGAUGGUAGACUUGCCAAGUUACAAGAAGUUAGUCUCUCUGACACUAACCUUCUGCUGGGAAUGCAGUCUCCUCCCACCGAUUGGGGAGCUACCCCUAUUGGAAUCUCUAUGCAUAGAAAACAUGCCUGAGUUGGAGGAGUGGUCUAGCUCUAGAGGAGAGGAAACUGAAUUCCCUAGCCUCCUAAGGCUAACCAUUGCAAGCUGUAACAAACUAGGCAUACUACCACAGACACUUCUAUCAAGUCCGAGAUUAUGUGAAUUGAGUAUCCAUUUCUGUCCAAGUCUCAGGUUGUUGCCUCAUACAGGACUAAGCAAACUCACCUCUCUCAGAAAUCUUCGUCUUGGGUAUUGGAUGGAAGGGUUUGUGCAAUCUCUGGGUGAGUCUGGGACUCUACCUCCAAAUCUUAAUCGCCUUUACAUCCAUGAUUGUAAAUCACUACCCAAGGGGUUGAGAAACCUGUCUUCACUCAAACAUCUAACAUUUGGUGAAUUUUUUAAAGGCCACUAUGGCCCGGAGGAGCUCCCCACAAAUGUCAUUGCAACCAGGGAUGGAUGAUGCCUAUGCCGCCAAAAGGUUUGCCAAUACAAUGCAUGUAACUUUAACCUACCUUGCCAAAUCUUUUGAUGACUAAUAAAGGUCUCUUCAAUGAUCUGAUCCUUCGAACAUGAGACAGAUACAUCCUCCUUCAGCUCUUGGGCUGCCUUCAAGAGCCGUGCCCGCCUCCAUAGGGCCUUGGACCUACAGUGCUCUUCUUGUGAAAGGAGCAGAGUUCACCUAAGGGCAGCCCAUGGCAGUCGACUAGACGUAGAGAAGACUGCUGGCCUGGGAGAAGCCACCUGAUGGAAUAGACUGAGAUUGCAUUUGGUACACAUUAUUGGAAUACAUUCUAAGUUGAUUAUGUAUUAUGAAAUUAUAAUUUUCAUUGCAUUAUUGAUACAGCAAAUUGAGUCUGAACUCCAUGUCAAGGCCACCAGUUUUCAGCAAUGAUGGUAAAGAUGUACUGAUCUUAGGCAUUACAGGCAAUUCUCUGAGAUGAUCCACUUUGACAGAAAUGGAUUUUGCUCUUUGUAACCAUUGCUGGUUACAAUAAGACUGAUCAU